CAUGAAUUACUAUCGCAUCGAAUGCCUUUUUGAUGCAAUGAAGACCACAUAUUGCAUCAGAUUUGCUAAAUUGAUGCAAUAGCACCCACAUAUUGCAUCAAAUUCGUGUUUGAUGCAAAGCAAAGAGAUGCGAUAGGGUCAAAAAUUAGUAGUGGGUUUGUUCAUGGAAUUUGUCGUUUUAUCGGAUGUGUUGUUGAACUUGUGGUUUCCUCAGACUUGUGAUGGACUUGGUGAUGAACAUGUGUUUAUGUAUGUGACAUGUACGUUAUAUGUAUGUGAGAGAUUUGGUAUAUCGUGGUUAUUGUGGCA
rnacentral:lncRNA from 1 species